rnacentral:lncRNA from 1 species
GGAACCAUGGAGUUCCAUGCUCUUUUAUAAAAGGCAGCUAGGAACUUUGAGUUGGUCUACUAUAGAUAAGGAUAGCAAAGGGCUGCAAAACUUGGCCUGUGGAAUGAGACCAUGUUAACAGUUUCCAAGGAAGCAGCUUUUACAAGCUUUAUUCAUAACACACCAUUGACUAAAAGAAACAAGUGCCAAGCCCCAUCAAGUUGAGGUAUUGUUGAAAACACAGCUGGGUCACAGACGGAGUUGGAAAAUGCAACCAGAGGAAAACCAAGAGCAGCAAACUGAGAAUGACCUCAGUCCAAAUAGAAAGGAAUCCUUGAGGACUGAAUCUGGGGUCACAGAACAUCUGAAUCACCAGAUCCAGGUGCUGCACGCUCUUGGUCAGAGUGAGGACUGUACAAAAAGAAAAACAGGAUCCCCUCUCCAAAAAGCAAAUGAAGUGGUCAUUUCUUUGCCCAGAACAAUGCAGAAAAGUUCAUCAUUUUGCUGCCUUUUUUAUGGAAAGAUAGCCUGAAGGACAGGUACUGAACUAAAAAAAAUUAGCUAAGGAGGCCAACAAGAAUCCAGGUAAAAAGAAAAUGUGGUAAUAAAUGCCUUAACUCGAUUAAGUUUGAGCCAAUAGCUGCUCAGUCAGGAAAAGCCAUAAAUGUAGAGGAGGCUGUUAUUGGU